rnacentral:rRNA from 1 species
UACGUAGGUGGCGAGCGUUGUCCGGAUUUAUUGGGCGUAAAGCGCACGCAGGUGGCUGAGUCAGUCGAUUGUGAAAGCCCUGGGCUUAACCUGGGAAUUGCAGUCGAUACUACUCAGCUAGAGUAUGGGAGAGGGCAGUGGAAUUCCCGGUGUAGCGGUGAAAUGCGUAGAUAUCGGGAGGAACAUCAGUGGCGAAGGCGGCUGCCUGGCCCAAUACUGACACUCAGGUGCGACAGCGUGGGGAGCAAACAGG